CUGCCCGUAGCAUAAUGGAUAGUGUACCGGACUCCGACUCCGGUGGUGUGGGUUCAAUUCCCGUCGGGCGGACCA
rnacentral:tRNA from 1 species